UCCCUGGUGACUCAGUUGGUAAAGAAUCUACCUGCAAUGCAGGAGACCCUGGUUCGAUUCCUGGAUUGGGAA
rnacentral:tRNA from 1 species